UAAAAAUGGGAAUUGGGGUGGGGGCCAAAAAAAAAAAGGGAUUUUGGGAUUUAAAAAUGGGAAUUUGGGAUUUCAAAUGAGAUUUUGGGGACUCAAACCGGGGUUUUUUGAGGAAAAUUGAGAUUUUGGGACUUUGGGAUUUUUCCCAUCCCGAUCCCGAUGGAUUUGGGGUCUUUUCCCAUCCCGGGGCCGAUCCCACAUUCCCAAAUUUCCCGAUCCCAAUCCCGGUGUGAUCCCAUUGCCGAUCCCAAUCCCAAUCCAUUCCUGGUCCAUUCCCAUUCCCAUUCCCGCUCUGUUCCCAAUCCCAAUCCAUUCCUAGGAUCCCGGUCUGAUCCCAUUCCCAUUCCCAAUCCCGGUCUGAUCCCAGUCCUGGUCUGUUCCUGAUCCCAAUCCCAAUCCCGGUCCAUUCCCAUUCCCAUUCCCGCCCUGUUCCCAAUCCCAAUCCCGUUCCUGAUCCCAAUCCCAAUCCCAAUCCUGGUCCAUUCCUGAUCCCAAUCCCAGUCUGAUCCCAAUCCUGGUCUGUUCGUGAUCCCAAUCCUGCUCCCAAUCUCAGUCUGAUCCUGUUCCCAAUCCCAAUCCCGUUCCUGAUCCCGAUCCCAAUCCCAAUCCUGGUCCAUUCCCAUUCCCGCUCUGUUCCCAAUCCUGGUCCAUUCCUGAUCCCAAUCCCAGUCUGAUCCCAAUUCCUGGUCUGUUCGUGAUCCCUAUCCCUAUCCCAAUCUUGCCCUGUUCCCAUUCCCAUUCCCAUUCCCGCCUUGUUCCCAAUCCCAAUCCAUUCCUAGGAUCCCGGUCUGAUCCCAGUCCCAAUCCUGGCCCAAUCCUGUUCCCAAUCCCGGUCUGAUCCUGCUCCCGAUCCCAAUCCUGGGACCCCGCUUUGAUCCCGUUCCUGAUCCCGUUCCCAAUCCCGUUCCUGCUCCAUUCCCGGGAUCCCAUUCCUGAUCCCAAUCCCAUUCCCGGGAUCCCAGUCUGUUCCCAUUCCCAUUCCUGGGCCAUUCCUGCUCCCAAUCCCAAUCCAAUCCCGGUCCGUUCCCAAUCCCAUUCCUGCCCUGUUCCCAAUCCCAAUCCCAAUCCAAUCCCGUUCCCGUUCCUGUUCCUGAUCCCAAUCCAAUCCCAAUCCCGAUCCAAUCCCGGUCCAUUCCCAUUCCCGUUCCUGCCCUGUUCCCGUUCCCGUUCCCAUUCCCGUUCCAUUCCCGUUCCCAGUCCAUUCCCAGCAUCCCAAUCCCGUCCCAUUCCCGGUGUCCCGGUUGGAUCCGGCUCUCCUGAUCCCGAUCCCGUUCCCGGUGUCCCGGUUCCGUUCUGGAUCCCGGUCAGGUCCCAUUCCCGGUGUCCCGUUCCUGGUCCGAUCCUGUUGCCGGUGUUAUCCCGGUGUUAUCCCGGUGUUAUCCCGGUGUGAUCCCGGUCAGCUCCUGAUGCCGGUGACCCGAUCCCGGUAUCCCGGUCAGACCCCGGGGUCCCGUCCGUCCUGGAUCCCGGUCUGAUCCUGUUCCCGGUGAUUUCCCGGCGUUAUCCCGGUGAGAUCUCGGUCAGAUCCCAGUGAGAUCCCGGUGAGAUCCCGGUGAGAUCUCGGUCAGACCCCGGUCCGAUC
ensembl:lncRNA